rnacentral:sRNA from 1 species
UCGUAACAAGGUCUCCGUUGGUGAACCAGCGGAGGGAUCAUUACCGAGUUAUACAACUCAUCAACCCUGUGAACAUACCUAAAACGUUGCUUCGGCGGGAACAGACGGCCCUGUAACAACGGGCCGCCCCCGCCAGAGGACCCCUAACUCUGUUUUUAUAAUGUUUUUCUGAGUAAACAAGCAAAUAAAUUAAAACUUUCAACAACGGAUCUCUUGGCUCUGGCAUCGAUGAAGAACGCAGCGAAAUGCGAUAAGUAAUGUGAAUUGCAGAAUUCAGUGAAUCAUCGAAUCUUUGAACGCACAUUGCGCCCGCCAGUAUUCUGGCGGGCAUGCCUGUUCGAGCGUCAUUACAACCCUCAGGCCCCCGGGCCUGGCGUUGGGGAUCGGCGGAAGCCCCCUGUGGGCACACGCCGUCCCUCAAAUACAGUGGCGGUCCCGCCGCAGCUUCCAUUGCGUAGUAGCUAACACCUCGCAACUGGAGAGCGGCGCGGCCAUGCCGUAAAACACCCAACUUCUGAAUGUUGACCUCGAAUCAGGUAGGAAUACCCGCUGAACUUAAGCAUAUCAAUAAGCGGAGGAAAAGAAACCAACAGGGAUUGCCCCAGUAACGGCGAGUGAAGCGGCAACAGCUCAAAUUUGAAAUCUGGCUCUCGGGCCCGAGUUGUAAUUUGUAGAGGAUGCUUUUGGU